GCCCGGCUAGCUCAAUCGGUAGAGCGUGAGACUCUUAAGGAGUUCCUCCGUCAUCUCAAGGUUGUGGGUUCGACCCCCACGUCGGGCU
rfam:Podospora anserina genomic DNA, chromosome 5.